CACAAAUUAAAAUAUGAAGGCUUCGGCUGGAUUAUUUUUAUCACCCUUGUCUUUUGCGCACUUGUUGUUUCCUGGGCGGGUUCGCCCGCCACCAGGACCACACCAUAAACCUUUUUUUAUGCAGUUGCAAUCAGCGUCAGUAUAACAAAUGUAAAUCAUUUA
rnacentral:misc_RNA from 1 species